AUUGAAUCUGAAUGAGAAACUGCAGAAAGAUGUCAAGCUGAUCUGUAUUGGUGUGAGAGACUAAUGACCUCAUGCCGGAAACUAAGCACUCUGGCACCCUGAGAGAGAAGAGACCUUUUGUUCCCGCACACAGUGGGCCUCUCAACAAUCACCCAGGAAUUUUUCUCACCCAGACAGGCAACAGAUGAAAGGGGCGGAAGGAAAGGCUGGAGAGAUGGUGAAGAGUUAUUGCACCAAUAAGCAACCUUGGACAUCACCAACAAUCACUCUGUGUUGUGGCAUUUGCUCAGACAUUCAGAAACCACAGUUUAGAUGGAAAAGCGGACAAACAGAGUCUCUGUGCUUGAACAGGGCUUCUUUUCUUCAAGAAACACAAACUGUUUUCUUAGCCUCAAAGGUCCAGAACAAUUUGGGUUCUAGUGGACAACAAAAUCUCUAUUACGUCCCCGUUUCCCCCGUCAGUCCAGCGCUGACUCACCCACACACAUCCACACUUGCACCGAGCAGUUCAGGCUUGUCUAUCCAUCUGAAGGAAAACUUUUGAGUUUUCCAGUCACCGGACAAAGCCUCAGUGUGCGCGCACGUACAAUCAAUGUUGAUUUUAACAAACGCCUUCAGUUUUGCGCUGGAAAAUUCAUGCUCGUCCGCGUGCGUGGCCAUAACUGAAAGAUAAGUUCCAUUGCAAACCGCACGGUCGUGGAAAAUAAAUAGUCCCACAGGCGUGCAUACAUAAAGCAAGAGUGCAGCUUUGGCUCGGGCCUGCUGCUAACACAGCUAAUGAAUCUAACCCUGCUGGGCAUUCACUCCGUUAAUGUAAUUACUUCAUGCAGACUUCAUCGAAUUAGACUCAGAUUUCCCUCAAAUGUCCAGACGGGUGGUAAGAGAGAGUGUGUCAAACUGUCUGACAUUGCAUCAAAGGGUGCCACAGUUAGCAGAAUUAAAGAAAAUCUUCUCGACAGACUUUCAUGGUUCGAACUGAAAGGUCGGGAUCAAAAACUAAAAGUGCGAUGGAAUCAUAUUACCAGAGAGACAGAUUGACUGUAGACAUGAUUUGGAAUGCCACUAUGAUGUUGACAUAAUCCUGUCAUUAUGUCGGUUCCUAUAGAUCAACUGGAAAUGCCAAGGUUUCCAGGGGA